rnacentral:sRNA from 1 species
ACCCCUUCAAGAGCUAAGCCACCCUCGGUCGGUGAGUGCCGGAGAUAAGCGCCGGAUGGGGUUGAGGCC